GAAUAAAUAGAAUUGCUAUCGUUACAGUGUUCAAUGUCGGUGAAUAUAGAAGGGCAGCCACAGACAAGUAUCGAAACCAUGCAUUUUUUGAUAUGGCCAACACAGAAGCCGUAGCGAUUCGACAGAAAUGUGCUUUGAUGGCAAUAGAUGAUGCCUGCAAAUUUUUACACAGCGGUGGAGAGGUGGCGGUAAUAGAUGCAACUAACACAACAAGGGAGCGACGGCGGUUGUUAAAUGAUAUCAUCUGUAAUAAAAAUGGGUUUCGUUUAUUCUUUGUGGAGUCUAUAUGUGAUGACCUUAAUAUAAUAGAGGCAAAUAUACUUGAAGUGAAAGUAUGCAGUCCAGACUACCUUGGUAUGGAUAAAAACGAAGCAGUUGAGGACUUCAUGCAGCGUAUAGAACAUUACAGACAAAACUACCAGUCUAUGGAUUAUACAUAUGACAAAGAUCUGUCUUUUAUACAAAUCUUCAAUCAGGGUGAAAGAUUCCUUGUAAAUAAACUUGCAGGGCAUUUACAAAGUAGAGUUGUAUAUUAUUUAAUGAAUAUACAUGUGUUACCGAGGACCAUAUAUCUGACACGGCAUGGCGAAAGCAUGAUGAAUCUCCAGGGUAGGAUUGGAGGGGACAGUGAGCUCUCCCCUAGGGGAAUGGAGUAUGCCAAGGAGCUUGCCAAGUUUGUAGAAAAUGAGAAAAUUCCAAAUUUAAAGGUGUGGACAAGUGAGCUUACAAGAACUAUACAAACAGCCCAGUUUAUAGAUGGUCCAAAAGCUCACUGGAAAGCUCUUAAUGAAAUAGAUGCUGGUAUAUGUGAAGGGUUUACGUAUGAAGAAAUAGCAGAGAAAUAUCCAGAGGAGUUUGCCAAAAGGGACCAAGAUAAAUAUCACUAUAGAUACCCAACAGGAGAGUCAUAUCAAGAUCUGGUAGCGAGAUUAGAACCUGUUAUCAUGGAAUUGGAGCGACAAGAAAAUGUAAUGGUUGUGUGUCACCAGGCAGUCGCAAGAUGUCUGCUUGCUUACUUUCAGGACAAGUCGUCAGGGGAAAUCCCUUACGUUCCUGUCCCCCAACAAUCGUUAGUGAAAAUGAAGUUGACGGGAAUUGGCGAAUGUGAGAUGGAAGUAGUGCCAAUACUCAGAGGAUCUGGCGUACCUGAAAGUUCCGCUCCACACAGUGAUAAAGCUAACGCCAGUGGCUUAUGGCUGUAGGGUAGAAUUCGAAAGCCUAAAUAUACCGGCUGUAAAUACGCACAGGGAACGCCCUGCGAAUACAGAGCUGAACAGAUCCAUAGAUGAUGCUAUGUCAACUGUACCACCAGUAGAUGAAGUCGAAGGGGAGGAAACAGAUAUUAUUAAUGAGCAGGAGGACCCACCUGUAGUCUAGUGCAUCGAUAACAACCCGCUAG
rnacentral:misc_RNA from 1 species